GUGUAAAGCUAUCCCUUUCCUCACAAACACUUUUUGACUUUCCAAAUCAUAUUGUCUUCUUUUCAAUUAACAUAAUCUUGCCUACUUUGAAUUUCUAUGGCAGAUAUUAUGUCACACCAUUUGGUGAAGCUUCGGUAGAAUGGUAGCACUACCGUUUCAAUUUUUUUUUUUUUAAAUUCAAAAUUACCAAAAUUUCCACCAAAAUAUCUCUCUUUUGGAUUUCAAAUUUUCAUGAAUUCUCGCCUCAAAUCCAGUGCCAAGAAGUCUAAAUUUGCAGAUCUUUUCUCUCUCUUUGCUCACAUGAAGUUUCUCCAUUUUUUUCUUUUUCUUUCUGCACAACAUACCAACCAUUUUGGAUAUUAAUUUGAAAUAAAUCUGCUCAAAGUCUCAAGGCAAAUCAGAGACAAAUCUGCUCAAAUCUCGCUCAUUAAAUGAUGAACGACUAUUUUACCGUUCAAAACCCCCACGCUCUUAAUUUCAAACGUUAGAGGUAAAAAUUCCUCCCAAAGAACCCUAGAAUCCGCCUAUAAAUACCAAGCCAUUGCAGCCAUUAGAGAGGGACUUCAGCCGUGCCUUUUACCCCAAAACUAGAAGCUCCGAGCCGCUCCUUUUACCCCAAAACAAAAGAUAUUCUUUUACUGUUCUGGUCGAGUUAUUCGUAAAAGAGGCUCGAGUCGGAGAUUCGAACAGCAGUUGCAAAACGCCCCGUUCACUGCCCACAAAAAACAAAAAUGGAGUCUCACCCCAGACUCAGCAUUACCCGAGCAUGGAAUCAUCAUAUCUCAUAUUCCUAUAGAUACACAGGAUAGCAAGAAAACAAGCGAAACGCUUGGGGACACCUAUGGUGUCCUUCUUUUCUAUUCAUUAUCAUUCAUGCGAUUUAACUACACGUGUGAUUUAAUUUCAUUUUUUAUUUUGAGAAUAUAUGUUAGAAUUCAUAUCAGCAUGGUUGUAUUUAGUUAUACUUGUUUCUUAUAAUCGAUUUAGUAAUUUUAAUCACA